rfam:Gossypium hirsutum cultivar TM-1 chromosome 15, whole genome shotgun sequence
AAUCAGUGGUGCGGGUAUUUUUGAAUCAACAUUUUGAAGUGUUCCCACACCUUAUAUAGGUUUUCUCCUUCCAUCUGUCUAAAGUCAACAAUCUCUCUUCUUAAUU